GUGAAGCGGGAAAAGCUCAAAUUUAAAAUCUGGCGUCCUCCGGGCGUCCGAGUUGUAAUCUGGAGAAGCGUUUUCCGCGUCGGACCGUGUACAAGUCUUCUGGAACGGAGCGUCAUAGAGGGUGAGAAUCCCGUCUCUGACACGGACUACCGAUGCUUUUGUGAUGCGCUCUCGAAGAGUCGAGUUGUUUGGGAAUGCAGCUCAAAAUGGGUGGUAAAUUCCAUCUAAAGCUAAAUAUUGGCCAGAGACCGAUAGCGAACAAGUACCGUGAGGGAAAGAUGAAAAGCACUUUGGAAAGAGAGUUAAACAGUACGUGAAAUUGUUGAAAGGGAAACGCUUGAAGUCAGUCGCGUUGGCCGAGACUCAGCCUGGCUUGCCUGGUGUACUUCUCGGUUGACGGGUCAGCAUCAGUUUUGACCGUCGGAUAAAGGUUGGAGGAAUGUGGCAUCCCUCGGGAUGUGUUAUAGCCUCUGAUUCGCAUACGGCGAUUGGGACUGAGGAACUCAGCACGCCUUUAUGGUCGGGGUUCGCCCACGUAACGUGCUUAGGAUGCUGGCAUAAUGGCUUUAAGCGACCCGUCUUGAAACACGGACCAAGGAGUCUAACAUGCCCGCGAGUGUUUGGGUGUUAAACCCGAGCGCGUAAUGAAAGUGAAAGUUGAGAUC
rnacentral:rRNA from 1 species